rnacentral:rRNA from 1 species
AGUGUCGCGCAUGAAUGGAUUCGUGAGAUUCCCACUGUCCCUAUCUACUGUCUAGCGAAACCACAGCCAGGGGAACGGGCUUGGAAGAAUCAGCGGGGAAAGAAGACCCUGUUGAGCUUGACUCUAGUCUGUUACUGUGGAACGACUUGAUGGGUGUAGAAUAUGCGGGAGGCGCGAGCCGACAGUGAAAUACCGCAACCGUCAACGUUGUUUUACUUACUUGGUCGGGCGGAGAGGGAUCUGAUCCCACUUUUGGGUCGAAGCGUGCGUGUGUGCGCGAUCCGCGUCGGGGACACUAACAGGUGUGGAGUUUGGCUGGGGCGGCACGUCUGUUAAAAAAUAACGCAGGCGCCCGAUUUUGAGCUCAAUGAGAACAGAAAUCUCAUGUGGACCGAAAGGGGAAAAGCUCGGUUGAUUUUGAUUUUCAGUACGAAUACAAACCGCGAAAGCGUGGCCUAUCGAUCCUUAGGUCUUUGUGAAUUUCAAGCUAGAGGUGUCAGAAAAGUUACCACAGGGAUAACUGGCUUGUGGCUGCCAAGCGUUCAUAGCGACGUAGCUUUUUGAUCCUUCGAUGUCGGCUCUUCCUAUCACUGCCUCGCAGCAGGGGCCAAAUGCAGGAUUGUUCACCCACCAACAGGGAACGUGAGCUGGGUUUAGACCGUCGUGAGACAGGUUAGUUUUACCCUACUGCUGUCCGCUUUUGCACGGUAAUUUGGUUCAGUACGAGAGGNNCCACCAAUUCGCAUCAUCGGCAUAGCCGCCGCCGGAAACGGCGAUGCGGCGAC